AAGGAAGUCCAGGCGGCCGCCGGUCAGGGCCCAGGUCCUGACGGGAGGAAAGUCCGAGCUCCUCAGGGCACGGUGCCGGGUAACCCCCGGUCGGUGGAAGCCGAAGGAAAGUGCCACAGAGAGUAGUCCACCUGGGCGGCGCCUCGGCGCUGCCCGGCAGUUUGCGCCCGGUCGAACGCGCCGGUGGCGGGACUGUGGCGUGCGGCGACGCACGUCGGCCAGGGUGAAAGGGUGCGGUAAGAGCGCACCGGCGACCCGGGAGACCGGGUCGGCCGGGUAAACCCCACUGGGAGCAAGGCCAACUAGGGAUGUGUAUCGGGGUUGCCCGCCCCAGCAUCCGGGUAGGCCGCUUGAGCCCGUCGGUAACGGCGGGCCUAGAUGAAUGACCGCCUAUGGGGUUGUGGUAACACGCCCCGGGACAGAACUCGGCUUACGGGCUUCCCAUCUC
rnacentral:RNase_P_RNA from 1 species